GUUGAUCGUAAAAUACAGGUCUUGCAGUAGUGAAUGGAGGAUAACCAGAGUGGGGAUUUGCACUAGUAAUUUCUACAUUAACUGCGUGAUCCCUAUAGUUGUAAUUAUUGUGGUGAGGAUCCGGUUUGUCAUAUGAUUGUAAAGGUCUCGUUUGAAUAGGCGGAAUAUUUGCAGAGUGCUGGUUA